UACGUAGGGGGCAAGCGUUGUUCGGAAUUACUGGGCGUAAAGGGCGCGUAGGCGGCACGGCAAGUCGGGAGUGAAAGCCCGGGGCUCAACCCCGGAGGGUCUUCCGAAACUGCCGAGCUAGAGUGCGGAAGAGGCAACCGGAAUUCCCAGUGUAGCGGUGAAAUGUGUAGAUAUUGGGAAGAACACCGGAGGCGAAGGCGGGUUGCUGGGCCGACACUGACGCUGAGGCGCGAAAGCCAGGGGAGCAAACGGG
rnacentral:rRNA from 1 species